GAUGAACGCUGGCGGCGUGCCUAAUACAUGCAAGUCGAGCGAACAGACGAGGAGCUUGCUCCUCUGACGUUAGCGGCGGACGGGUGAGUAACACGUGGAUAACCUACCUAUAAGACUGGGAUAACUUCGGGAAACCGGAGCUAAUACCGGAUAAUAUAUUGAACCGCAUGGUUCAAUAGUGAAACACGGUUUUGCUGUCACUUAUAGAUGGAUCCGCGCCGCAUUAGCUAGUUGGUAAGCUAACGGCUUACCAAGGCAACGAUGCGUAGCCGACCUGAGAGGGUGAUCGGCCACACUGGAACUGAGACACGGUCCAGACUCCUACGGGAGGCAGCAGUAGGGAAUCUUCCGCAAUGGGCGAAAGCCUGACGGAGCAACGCCGCGUGAGUGAUGAAGGUCUUCGGAUCGUAAAACUCUGUUAUUAGGGAAGAACAAAUGUGUAAGUAACUAUGCACGUCUUGACGGUACCUAAUCAGAAAGCCACGGCUAACUACGUG
rnacentral:rRNA from 1 species